rnacentral:rRNA from 1 species
GACGAACGCUGGCGGCGUGCUUAGCACAUGCAAGUCGAACGGAAAGGCCCUGCUUUUGUGGGGUGCACGAGUGGCGAACGGGUGAGUAACACGUGUGUAACCUGCCCCUGACUUUGGGAUAACUUCAGGAAACUGGGGCUAAUACCGGAUAUGAGCUCCUGCUGCAUGGUGGGGGUUGGAAAGAUUCGGCGGUUGGGGAUGGUCUGGCGGGUUAUCAGCUUGUUGGGGGGGUAGUGGCUUACCAAGGCUUUGACGGGUAGCCGGCCUGGGAGGGGGACCGGCCACAAUGGGACUGAGGUACGGCCCAGACGCCUACGGGAGGCAGCAGUGGGGAAUAUUGCAGAAUGGGCGGAAGCCUGAGGCAGCAGCGCCGCGUGCGGGAUGACGGCCUUCGGGUUGUAAACCGCUUUCGACUGUGACGAAGCGUGAGUGACGGUAAUGGGUAAAGAAGCAACGGCUAACUACGUG